GAUGAACGCUAGCGGCAGGCCUAAUACAUGCAAGCCGGACGGCAAGUUGAGUAGCAAUACUUGACCUAGAGUGGCGUAAGGGUGCGUAACACGUAUGCAAUCUGCCCACAGCCGGGAGAUAGCCCUCCGAAAGGAGGAUUAAUAUCCCAUAGGAAGAUGAGAUGGCAUCAUUUUAUUUUAAACUACGGGGCUGUGGAUGAGCAUGCGGUUGAUUAGCUAGUUGGCGGGGUAAAGGCCCACCAAGGCGAUGAUCAAUAGGGGACCUGAGAGGGUGAUCCCCCACACUGGCACUGAGAUACGGGCCAGACUCCUACGGGAGGCAGCAGUAGGGAAUAUGGACAAUAGGGUGUAAGCCUGAUCCAGCCAUGCCGCGUGCAGGAAGAAGGCCUUCUGGGUUGUAAACUU
rnacentral:rRNA from 1 species